rnacentral:rRNA from 1 species
UGCGUAGGCGGCCAGAAAAGUCAGAGGUGAAAGGCUACGGCUUAACCGUAGUAAGCCUUUGAAACUAUUUGGCUUGAGUGCAGGAGAGGAAAGUGGAAUUCCUAGUGUAGCGGUGAAAUGCGUAGAUAUUAGGAGGAACACCAGUGGCGAAGGCGACUUUCUGGACUGUAACUGACGCUGAGGCACGAAAGCGUGGGGAGCAAACAGGAUUAGAUACCCUGGUAGUCC